rnacentral:rRNA from 1 species
CCCGUAACGAGCGUAAUCCUUGUCCUUAGUUACCAGCACGUAAUGGUGGGCACUCUAAGGAGACUGCCGGUGACAAACCGGAUGAAGGUGGGGAUGACGUCAAGUCAUCAUGGCCCUUACGGCCUGGGCUACACACGUGCUACAAUGGUCGGUACAUAGGGUUGCCAAGCCGCUAGGUGGAGCUAAUCUCACAAAACCGAUUGUAGUCCGGAUCGCAUUCUGCAACUCGACUGCGUGAAGUCGGAAUCGCUAGUAAUCGCGAAUCAUAAUGUCGCGGUGAAUACUUU